rnacentral:rRNA from 1 species
AGAGUUGAUCAUGGCUCAGAACGAACGCUGGCGGCGCGUUUAAGCAUGCAAGUCGAGCGGCAAGGGCCUUCGGGCCCCUAGAGCGGCGGACGGGUGAGUAACACGUGGACAAUCUGCCCCCCGGCCCGGGAUAGCCCAGGGAAACCUGGAUUAAUACCGGAUGAGACGGGACCCGCGAUGGCGGGACCCGGGAAAGGCGCUGCGGCGCCGCCGGGGGAUGAGUCUGCGUCCCAUUAGCUAGACGGCGGGGUAACGGCCCACCGUGGCGACGAUGGGUAGCCGGCCUGAGAGGGUGGACGGCCACAUUGGAACUGAGACACGGUCCAGACUCCUACGGGAGGCAGCAGCUAAGAAUCUUCCGCAAUGGGCGAAAGCCUGACGGAAGCGACGCCGCGUGAACGAAGAAGGCCGUGAGGUUGUAAAGUUCUUUUCGGGAGGGGGAACAACCGUGGCAGGGAAUGGCCGCGGGAUGACGUGAAUCCCGGAAUAAGCCCCGGCUAACUACGUGCCAGCCGCCGC